rnacentral:misc_RNA from 1 species
UUUCCGUAGGUGAACCUGCGGAAGGAUCAUUAAUGAGUUGUCAUGGGGUUCGAUGCUGGCAGCCAAUUUUUGGAUGCAUGUGCUUGCCCUAACAAUCAUCUUCCAAACACCUGUGCACAUUUUUGAGGGAGUCUUGAGUUGGUUGCCGCUCUUGGGUGAUUUUCUCACAUUCCCUUAAAUCAUUAUACGCUAUUAACAAUGUUGAACGUGCUCUGUGCCGCAAGCCUAUUAAUAUAAUACAACUUUUAACAACGGAUCUCUUGGCUCUC